UGGGGAAUUUUGGACAAUGGGGGCAACCCUGAUCCAGCCAUGCCGCGUGCGGGAAGAAGGCCUUCGGGUUGUAAACCGCUUUUGUCAGGGAAGAAACGCGCUGGGAUAACACCCCGGCGUAAUGACGGUACCUGAAGAAUAAGCACCGGCUAACUACGUGCCAGCAGCCGCGGUAAUACGUAGGGUGCAAGCGUUAAUCGGAAUUACUGGGCGUAAAGCGUGCGCAGGCGGUGAUGUAAGACAGUUGUGAAAUCCCCGGGCUCAACCUGGGAACUGCAUCUGUGACUGCAUUGCUGGAGUGCGGCAGAGGGGGAUGGAAUUCCGCGUGUAGCAGUGAAAUGCGUAGAUAUGCGGAGGAACACCGAUGGCGAAGGCAAUCCCCUGGGCCUGCACUGACGCUCAUGCACGAAAGCGUGGGGAGCAAA
rnacentral:rRNA from 1 species